rnacentral:rRNA from 1 species
UACGGGGGGAGCAAGCGUUGUUCGGAUUUACUGGGCGUAAAGGGCGCGUAGGCGGUCAGCACAAGUCAGUUGUGAAAUCUCCGGGCUUAACUCGGAAAGGUCAACUGAUACUGUGCGACUAGAGUGCGGAAGGGGCAACUGGAAUUCUCGGUGUAGCGGUGAAAUGCGUAGAUAUCGAGAGGAACACCUGCGGCGAAGGCGGGUUGCUGGGCCGACACUGACGCUGAUGCGCGAAAGCCAGGGGAGCGAACGGGAUUAGAUACCCCGGUAGUCCUGGCCUUAAACGAUGGAUGCUUGGUGUCUGGAGUUUUAUAGUCUCCGGGUGCCGUAGCUAACGCGUUAAGCAUCCCGCCUGGGGAGUACGGUCGCAAGACUGAA